rnacentral:ncRNA from 1 species
CUACGGACUUAAUUGGAUUGAGCCUUGGUAUGGAAACUUACUAAGUGAUCACUUUCAAAUUCAGAGAAACCCUGGAAUGAACAAAAAUGGGCAAUCCUGAGCCAAAUCCUAUUUUCUGAAAACAAAUAAAGGUUCAGAAAAAAAGGAUAGGUGCAGAGACUCAAUGGAAGCUAUUCUAACAAAUGGAGUUAAAUGUGUUGGUAGAGGAAUCUUUACAUCGAAACUUCAGAAAGAAAAAGAAUGAAGUGAAGGAUAAACGUAUAUACAUACGUAUUGAAUACUAUAUCAAAUGAUUAAUGACGACCCGAAUCCCUGAUCAAAUCAUUCACCCCAUAGUCUGAUAAAUCUUUUAAAGAACUGAUUAAUUAUAUGAGAAUAAAGAUAGAGUCCCGUUCUACAUGUCAAUACCGA